GUUCCUCAAGGAUCUUAAGAAUUUCAUUCGGAUCUCGCAGCAUAAGUUGUGCAUUAAUCUUUGUUGUCAACAAGUAUCUACUUAGCUUCUUUUGACCGUAUCAGGUGAUGGAUGAGCUGGAUUUAGCAUGUCCUUAGCAUUAUGGAAAUCUGCAUCUUCAAAGCGGAUGGUUCAGGCAAAACUCUUAGAUUUAUAUAGUAAGGAAACUGGUUGGGACACUAAAUUUGCUGUAAAUUGUAAUGUUGUUACCUUCUCUUUCUCUUUCUCUCUCUCUCCUCUCUCUCAAAUAGAUUAUGGUAAAGUUUGAUAGUUUGCAAAUCUUAAAGCGCUCAGUCUAAAGGUUUGCUGUUGGCAAGAUUGACAUGCCUUGUAGUAGGCUUUAAGUACACUUGAACUACUCUUGGUCGCCUAUUUACCAGGGUAUGUUGCUAUAUAGUAAUUUUCAUCUUCUCAAGCUUAAACUUUGUAUAUAUAACUUGGGAAGUUUUAACUAAUGAAAAGUGCUGAUGAAUCAGUACAACUCAUGGACAUGGUCACCUCAGUCCACAGGCCAACAAAACUGAUCAAAUAAACAAACUAGGUUUAUUUACAAAGUCUAUUCAAGUCUAGAGUACAACAAACAAUAACACUAAUUCUUUUGACUCUUUACACAUCUAUCUGCUUGGUUAAAAAUAGUUACAAUUGAAGCUAAUGUAUAAAAUGGUAUGCAGAGCUAUUGCGUAGAAGUACCACGUCCAGCCUUAGACGCAAUGAAAGACUCUUCAGACACACAACGAUAACAUGAAUCAAGGAAGAGAUGGAGAGAAUAAAAAAAUAGUAAUUUUAGUACUUUAACAGUUCAGACUUACAGUAUAUAAAAAAAUUCAGAAAUAUAAUCUUGAUUAUACAAGCCUUUUCUUUUUUUUAGAAUCCUUUUACCAAAAUUUUAUUGGAAAUGACACUGUCCUCUUUUAAGGUUCACUGUGAUGAUCAAUAGAAGUGUCAAUUUUUACAACUUUCUAAAAAAGCCUCAAGUAAUAGACUUUAACACAUGAUUAUAAAGUAUUUGAGAUGACCAUAACUCUUCGUUUGUAAAUAGUCUUCAGUGAUUUUGAUUUCACAAUGUUUGGUGAGAAAUUAAAACGACUUGAGAUGCAAUUGAUUCAAAGCAUAGUUCUAAAUUAAAAAUUCUCACGGAAUAAAAAAGAUAACAAAAUAAAGAAGACAAUGUUGCAAAGAAGAGGAUCUUAAAAACUCUCUUUAGCACUUUCACAUGUCGGAGAAGUUCUAUAAGCUUUCUUAAGAGACGUGGAUGUAACUUGUUACUUAUCUUUAGCUUUUGUUUAUGUUAUUUUGUAUUUGAGUUUGUUUUUUUAAAGUUGUUUAAGGCUAAUCUUUUAUCCUUUUUUUUGUUUUGUUUUGUUUUGAACUAUUUUUAUUAAUAAAAUUUAGCCUCUUUGGCCAUUUUGUUUAAAAGAAGAAGAAGAGAAGAAGUUUUUAAUCAACGAAGAAAAUCAUGACACACAUAAAGUAUAAUAGAUCACUUUCUAAAAUAAAAAUUUUGAUAAAGAAGAGGAGAUUUAAUUAACUAUGGGACAUCAAAGUGAAUAAAAUAUUGAUAUUAAUCAAAGUUUAUUAUUUACAAUAGUGCAAAAAAUAUUAUUGACUUUAUAUAAAUUUGAUUUUAAAAAAUUAUCUAUUUGCAUGUGAAAAUACUGUGAUAGUAUGUUACUCUACAAGACAAUCAAGUUCUGCUAUCAUGUCGAUGAAAGUGUCCGUUUUAUUUAAUUGUUAUUAUGAACAAGUCAUACAAAAACCUUGACUGAGACAACGAGAUGACGAACAAAAUGACAAACAAGACUGUAUUUGACUGAGCUUAAAAUUCGACAUAUCCAAAAGAUAUUUGUUAUACUUACAAAAAUAAUACCAUUAAUAACAAUAUUUGAAAAACUAGUACAUAAAAUUGGACAACAUCAUCUACAAAAAUUAAUCGAUAUUUUAAUUAGACUGGUGUGUGUUGUAGUACAUGUACUAUUUUUUCCUUAGUCAAGCUUUUCUUUCGUUAGAUUUUUUUGGCAAGAUUUUUAAUGAAGCAAUUAAUAAUGCAUAUUACUAGAUAUAUGACUUGUUUUUUUUAUUGAAAUAUUUUUCACAAGCUUUUUUCUAAUAAGAUUUUAACACGGUACAUUAUCUAUCUAAAUAUAAACAUCCAAAAUAAAAUAUUAUGAAAUAAUAAAUUUGAAUAUUAAUUUAUGCUCCGGAGCGUUUAUGGUACGCCCGCCUCGAAACUCGCCCCGAAAAUGUUUUUGAAAAUACUGAUUAGUAAUAUAAUAUUUUGCGAGUUUGGAUUUAAUCGAGCUCAAAUUGGAGUAUGAAAAAACAAAAAAGGGCAAAGGGUCAAAUAUACCCUUGUACUAUAUGAAAUAGUUUAAAUAUACCCUUAGUUAUACUUUUGGGCUAAAUAUACCCUUUUCGUUAUACUUUCAGACUAAGUAUACCCUUAUCACUAACAGAGGACACGUGGACGGCUAAAAUUAAAAGAAUUAUUUAAUUUAAAAUAAAUCAAAUUCGAAUAUAACCCGCCCCGAAUAAUUUAACUCAACCUAAUCAAUUCGGCUACCAUUCUUGGCAACUCUGUCAAGCUUCUUUGCAUCAUCAUGAAAUAUAAAGUCAAUUGUGUCAUUGUAAUCCAGAAACUCUUCCAUUGUUUACCAAUGCUCACCUGAGUUGUUCCAUUGGCAGCAUUCUUGAUCCAUAGAGCUAUUUUUUCUUGUCUAACUUGAACAUUAAUAAUCACUCCACAAAUUUCAUCUCCAAAUUUCUCUCCAGUCAGUGCCAACAUCAUGUACAGCCAGCUGGUGGGUCCAUGUUAUAGAAAAGCUCAUCGUUCACUUCCCUCCAUUGACACAUACAGGUGGAUCAAUGUUAUAAAUUAGGUCGGGUUAAAUUAUUUGGGCGGGGCAGGUUAUAUCCAAAUUUAAUAUAUUUUAAAUUGAAUAGUUUUUUUAAUCUUAACCGUUCAUGUGUUUUCUGUUAGUCAUAAUGAUAUAUUUAGCCCAAAAAUAUAACAAGAGAAAUAUAUUUAGCCCAAAAAUAUAACAGGAGAAAUAUAUUUAGCCCAAAAGUAUAACUAAGAAUAUAUUUAAACUAUUUCAUAUAGUACAGUACAGGGUAUAUUUGACCCUUUACCCGAAAAAAAAAAGUUAGGAACUUUCCAUGGCCUAAAGCAAGAAGUUUCUAAUAUCUUGAAUCCCUUUGUUUCCAUUGUCUCUUUCUUUGACUCUACACAUUCUUUCAUCUGCCCCAUUCCUGAAGGCUAUUGAGUCUUUGGGGCUCUCCAAGAUUUGAUAUUUAGGGGAGCUCUUCUUUCCUUGAGCCUACAUUUUUUAUUCUUGACAUCAAUCUCCAACACCCAUUUGCUUCAACUACAGAGAAAAUCCCUCCAGAUUUUUUCUGGGUUUACUCUUCUUCUUUUUCUGUGAAUUUUUGUUUUUGGCUAAAGGGGUUUCAGAGCAAAGGGUUUUCUAUGGAUUCUCAAGUUCUUGUUGCUCUUGGUCUUUCAUUGUUGGGUGGAUUGAGUACCUCUCUAGGUGAGUAAAAAGUUCCUUUUUUUUAUUUCUUUGUUUGGAAUAGUUUAUUUUCUCUUUUGUAAAAUUGGAUUAAUUAUCAGAGCCUGAAAGUGCUCUAAUCUUAUGUUUUUCUUCUCCAAUUAUCACAUAGCUAGAGAAAAAUAAAACUUAUGUGACCUUGUUUGACCAGGGGAUGGAGGAGUUUAAGAAACAGAAUUGUUUUUGAAACUUGUGGUCUUAUUAAGCCAUAAAGAUUUAUCUGGCAAUGGAUAAGGUAUUUAAGAAGUUAAAUUAUUUGUAAAUAUAGAUAUGAGUCAAUUUCUUGGAUAAACUAAAAGGCUGAGUGUACCACAUAAAUUGAGACAGAUGAAGUAAGUUUUUUUGAGUAAUGGAAGUCAAAGUGUGGCCUUUUUCAUUUUUUGUGCUCAAUCCUGUGUCUUUUCUGUAAGCAUAGUGAAAACCAUAUUGCUAAAACUUCAAUAUUUAUAGUCCCACUUAGCUCAUAAAAACUGUAUAAUAUUAAUUGGAGACUGAUGGCGCUAUUACUUUAUGGUGGUUGUUUCCAUCUCCUUUGUGUGUUUUGAGUUUCUAGAGUGUUUGAAGCUACAAGGGUCCUCCCUAAAGAAAGUUUAGUAAUCUGAUCUAUUUUUUCUUAUCUGCAGGUGCACUUUUUGUGGUUAUUAGCCAGGCUCCUAACUUGAAGAUGCUAGGACUUUUACAGGUGAUGGUUAAUCGUAUUUGUAAGAAUGUCAGAAGUAAAAUGGUUAAUUCAAGUGAUUCAUGGUUUCUUUGUCACUUGCUUGUUUAAGCAUGUUGUCUGGUAAAUGUUUACUGUCGGUUAUUUUAUAUAUUUUCUGACUUGAGUAUUUUAAAUUUUGAGCUGAAGAAAAGGAUCAUUUGAUUUUUAACUACUGAUGGUUUAAGCUUCCUGAGCUUAAAAGAACUCAUUAUGGUCAGAUGUGGAAAUGCCAAGAGGUACAUAGAUAGCAGAGAACUGAACCUGAAUAAUUUCUUUGGUUGUGCAGGGGUUUGCUGCUGGUCUUAUGCUUAGCAUAUCAUUCUUUGACUUGGCUCAUAAUGCUAUAAACUCCAUUGGCUUCUUAAAAGGAAACCUCUGGGUGAGCUAUCUCCUAAUUUUAUUUUGAACUUUUUCAAUCUGUUUUCCACUUAAAGAAGAAACAUACAGUUCUUGGAUCUUAAUUGCGAAUCUCUGGACUGUCAGUUUUUUGCAGGUGUUAUCUUCUUUGCUCUUGUUUCAAAUUUCAUCCCGGAACCUACACUUGCACCCAUUUCAAGUGCCAAAGGCAAAAAGGUAUGGUGUGAUUUGUUUUUUAUAGGAGAAAAUCUCGUUUAUGCAAAAACUAUCAAAGAAUAAAAAUGGUUUUCUGCAUGAGAACAGAAAGACGGAGAUGAUAGGGGUAAGGAUAUUAUGAAGAAGCAUCGCCGCCAAGUUUUAUUUAGUGGAAUCAUCACAGCAGUAGGUUAGUCUGCUGUAUUGGUUUGUUGAUAAUUCCCAUAGAUUUUACAGCAUUUUUUGAUUCUGUUAUGCUGUAAACCCUCCAUUUGAGUUCUCAUUUGAAGAACUCUGAAUUGUUUGUGAACUAGAUCUGAUUAAGUGCUGAUAGUGGAAGCCUAUUUUUGACAUUUCUUGUUGUGUCAGAGUCUCUUUACAAAUAUGGUAUGCAAGAGCACAUACAUUCUUAAAAUAAAUCUAGCUGAUUCUUCAUUUUUAUGUCUCUGAAGUAGUUUGUGAACUAGGUCUGAUGAAGUGCAAAUUGUGGAAGCCCAUUUUUGACGUUUCUUGUUGUUUCAGAGUCACUAUACAAAUAUUUUAUGCCAGAGUACAUAUAUGCUUAAAAUAAAUCUUGCUUUAAUCUUCAUUUUUAUGUCUCUGAAGUAGUAGCACUCCCCACCUACAUGAGAAAUUUUAUUAGGAAGUUAACUUAGAUUUCUAAUAAGUAUAUUGCCCCCAAUUUAAGCAUAGUCUUGAACAAAAUAAUUAAGAGUGAUAUAGUGUGGCCUGUAUAAUUUACCUGGAGUUUUUUCAAAAUUCUUAUCUGGAGUCUUGUUCAGUUUCCACAGUGCUAAGUUAUGAGAAGAAUAUUACAAAUCUUACUAAAUUUGUUUUUUCUAUCUAGUUUGUCGUUAGAAUUAGUUGUUGGUAGGAGGUGCUAGGUAUCCAGUGGAAUUAGUCGAGGUGCGUGAAAGCUGGCCUAGACAUCAUGGUUAUAUGAAGAAAAAAGAAGAAUUUAAGUUUACCCUUCAGCUAAGGUUCUAGUAGGUGCUAGAUGCACAGUCUUGUGGUUAAAUAAUCCCUUUCUGUUCAUUCCUUAUUGUCUGUAGCGAAAGUCAAGUCUCUAUUUGGACUGUUGUGGUGUAACUUAUUUAUGCUGUAAUAUGUAAGGUCUUCCUAUAGUAAAAGUAGAUUUCCCUCAAUAGUUUGUAGAAAACCAUACUCCCUCCGUCCUGUUUUAUGUGAAGAAGUUUGGAAUAAGAGGGUCAAAGCCCCAAAUUUUCAUUUGAAUCUGGCAUAAAAUUUUCUUUUCUUCUGAAAUAAAAUUUACAUAUUCUGAUAACUGCAUGGAAAGUACUACAAGUCUGUUGAGUUAAUAAUUUAAAAUAUUUGAAAAAGUUUUAUAAACUUGUAUUAGUAAAAGAAAACUAUUUGACUCCCCAAUAGUAAUAGUGUCAUUUAUCUAUUGCACAGGGAGCCCCCUCCCCCGCGUACCUCUUUUCUUUUUCUUUUCUCUUAAAAGGAACACCCCACGUUUUGUUACAGAAUGAAUGCUCAUUUACCUACAAAUUCUCUCCCAUCUAAUUCAAGGGACCACAUUUCUAAGUAUGAGAUAUUCCUAAAUUUUCAAGACUACUUUAGCAAAUAAGAAUUCUAUAGUACUUGCACAUAUUUCUAGCAAUCAAAAUUCAUUUAUCAAGUUAUUGAGCUACUUGUACUGAUAUACUAUACAAGUCAAAUUGACUUCUUAAUCUCCAUUUCUUCUUAAAUUACACUUAAUAUAAUUAGAUGAAAGGACUGGCAAUAUGGAAAUAGAAGAGAAUAAUAUAUGCAUUUGAACCAUAACUUCAUUCAUUAUAGGAUGUCUUACAUGGUUUGUAUUGGCUUUUCUGUCCAGGUAUAAGCUUGCACAACUUUCCUGAAGGGAUGGCUGUGUUCCUUGGAUCAAUGAAGGUAGUUCUCCUUUCUUGAUUGUCUGAUGUUUAUAAUCUUGUAUAGUGAUCACCUUAGUCAUUGUUGCUUGACCUAUGAUAUUUUGUUUCAUUCUAUUUUAAGAACCGUAAGGGUAACAAUGUUUCAAUUAAUAAAUGGCACCUCAAAUCCAAAAAUGGUUGGAGUCGGCUGUAUGUAUCAUCUAUAUCUAUACCAGGUACCCUAUGGGAUAGUCGAGAUGUUGGUAAGUUGGUCCGCUCACCCGUGGGGUCUGGGAAGGGAGAUGUACACAAACCUUACCCUACCUUUGUGGGGUAGAUAGGUUGUUUUUUGAUAGACCCUCAACUCAAAAGAGAAGUUAUUCAAAGCAGAGUUGCAAGACAAAUAUGACAACAAAAUAUCAAGAUACAAAGCAAAUGCAACAACAUAUAAUAGAAAACAUUGAAGAAUAAGAAACUAUGCAAUUAUUAAAUACUACUACUAAUAAGGUGAAGAGGAGAUGGGGCUAGCCCCUUGUGUCUCCCACCUAAAGUGUGACAAUACUCGGCUUCCUCCAAGUCUUCUACCCUAAUCCUUAACAUCCAUACCUUCAUAUCUAAGGUCAUGUCUUUAGUAAGCUGAAGUUGUGCCAUGUCUUGUGUAAUCACCUUCUCCAAUUCUUUUUCGACCUACCUCUACUCUCAUAACACCUCUUCUAACUCCCACUAUAACCAACCUCUAACAUCUCCUUACUGGCACAUCCACAUACCCUUUCUUCACAUGCCCAAACCAUCUCUAUUCACUUCCCUCAUCUUGUCUUCCACAGAGGUCAAGCCCACCUUGUACUGUCUAACUUCGUUUCUAAUCAUAUCUCUCUUAGUACGCCCACACAUCCAUCUGUGCAUCUUUAUCUCCACUACAUUCAUCUUUUGAAUGUGGGCGUUCUUGACUAACCAACACUUUGUCCCAUAUAACAAAGUUGAUUUGAUCACCGCCCUGUAGAACUUACCCUUGACAACACACUCUUAUCGUGUAGUACCUUGGAUGCAAACCUUAAUCUCGACCACCUCGCACCAAUACAAUGUGUGACAUCAUCAUCGAUCUCCUCAUCUCCUUGGAUCAUGGACCCCAAGAUGCUUGAAGCUUCCUCUCUUACGUAUGACUUGUGCAUUGAUCUUCACUUUCACCUUGUCCUCACACAUUACAUAUCUAAACUUGCACUCCAAUUACGGUGUUUUUGUCCGGCUUUACCUGAAACCUUUAGACUUUACGGUCUAUCUCCGAAGUUCCAACCUAUCAUUAAUUCCACCUCACAUCUCAUCAAUAAAUACUAUGUCAUCUGCGAACUCCACAACACCUCCCUUUGAAUAUGCUGUGUCAAUUUGUCCAUCAAUAAGGCAAAUAGGAACAGGCUGAGAGAUGGUUUUAGGUACAACCCAUCAUGACCGAAAAGUGUUUCGAGUCACCUCCCAUUGUUCUAGCCCAGGUCUUGAUUCCACCGUACAUGUCCUUAAUUGCUCUAAUUUAAGUCUGAGGUACACCUCUAGCCUUUAAACAUAUUUAUAGGAUCUCCAUAGGCACUUUAUCGUGCACCUUUUCUGGGUCGAUGAAUAUUAUGCCUAAGUUCCUCUUCAUGUCUCUAUACUGCUCUUAACAAUCUCCUUGUAAGAUGGAUGACUUUUGUAGUUCAUUGUCUCAACAUGAAGCCGAGUUGGUUUUAGAUAUAGAUACACCCUCCUCAUCCUCAUUUCGACCACCUUCUCCCGAACUUUCAUAGUAUUGCUUAGUAGCUUCAUACCCCUAUAGCUGUUGCAAUGUUGAAUAUCACCCUUUUUCUUAUAUGUAUUAUUGUACUUCACCUCCAUUCUUCUGGCAUUUUAGCUGUCCUAAAAAUGACAUCAAACAACCCAGUCAACCACUCCAUACCUGCUUCAUCUGUGGUCUUCCAAAAUUUCAUUGGUAUCUCGUCUAGCCUGGUUGCUCUUUCGCUCAUACGAAUAGGCCCCUUAACCUCCACAACCUUUAUGCACCUACAACACCCAAAAUUUCUACGACUCUCGGAAUGCUUUAACUCCCCCAACACGAUAUCCCUGUCCCUUUCUUCAUUCAAGAGCUUAUGCAAAUAUGUCUGCCAUCUCCGUCUAAUGUGUGCCUCUUAUACCAACAAUUCACCAUUUUUUUGUGGGGGUAAUACUUCGUCAUUCUCAUCCUUGAUAUACUUCAUAUGAUCCAGGUCACAAGCUUAUACAAUUUCCUACACCCUUCCUUCCCCUCGAGCUCUUUAUUCAAAUACUCAAAAGCUGUCCUUUUAGCAGCCAUGACCGCUUCCUUAUUCACCACCUUAUACCUCUUUCUAUUCUUCCUCUUAUCCUCCUUAUCUAAGCUUUCCACUAAAGCCGUGAAUCUAUUUAGGCCUAUGCCAUUCUCUACUGGUAAUUUGUCUUUUAAGGAAAAUUGGGUAUUCUCCAACAAUUGAAACUCUAAAUCUCAGACUUACACCUACUACAUAAACAUACAAGUUCUAAUCAGAAUAAAGCCCUUGUGGAAUUAAUGGAUUAAAUGUAAGUGUAAUAACAACAACUAGGCCUUAACUUGAACUAGUUGGUAUUGUCUAUAUAGAUUCUUUACUUCCAAUUGUUGUAUUCUUUGCUAAGUUCACAUUUGAAGGGGUUAUUGGUCUUUUAAGACUUCCUCAGUCCCUUUCAUCAAUGUGAUUUUGGCUUGCCUCGGUCCCUUUCAUCAAUGUGAUUUUGGCUUGCCUCGGUUCCUUUCAUCAAUGUGAUUUUUGGCUUGCCUCGGUCCCUUUCAUCACGUUUAGUCAUCAUUGUUGGUGAGUAUGGAGGUUACAUAGGGUAUGGUAUCGCAAGGCAUCUGAGGUGACCUUUUUUUUAUCCUCCAUCUUAACAUCAACAUUUCUAUGACACUCAGGUUUUUGAUAUAUAGGACUAAUAAUCACUCUCAUAUGACAUUGCUGGUCUUCAUUACUGUGUUAUAAGACCUGCCUUUUACUUGUUAGGUAACAGUGGUUGAAGAUUAAAAGAAAAUUAGCAAAUAAGCUUUAGAAAACAUAUGUUUAAGUAAUCUUAAAUAUCUUAAUCAAAUUAAGAGCAAGAACCAACUGUUGUGAUAACAGAAAACAUUCUUUAACAUAUUUUAUGGGGCCAUAGAUUAGGGAUAAUUUUGACAUUUACAUUACAUAUCACUUGUUUAGUCAUGGUUGCUCAACUUGCACAAUAUUGGUUUUAUUCAGUUUGGAGUAGUGUCAGGAUUAAAAUUUAGAUACAUACACUUAGAGCCUGUUUUGAUGGGCUUAUUAGUUUUUUCUUAUAAACAAAAAACCUAAUUUAGGAAUUCUAACUUAUGGCUUUUGGCUUAUUUUUGUCUUUUUGGCUUGAAAACAAGUGCUUAAAAGUAUUCCUUCUCAAAAAAACAAGUGCUUACAAAUACUUAUUAUUUUACCCAAACACUACAAAGUGCUUAAAUGCUAUUUUGGCUUAAAUGCACUUAAAAUAAGUAUCCAAACAGGCUCUAUGUAAUGUGAAAUAUUAAUAAAAUGCUUAACAUUGUACCAUUUUAUUGUGCAUAAAGUAGACAUUUCUUGGAUAUAAAUUGCACGGAACAACCUUCAUAGAAAAAGGAAAUACAUGAGGACAACGUGGUCUACAGACCCAAUAUUUGUGGUCAUAAUCUGCUUCGACAUCAUUCUUGUUACAUCGGAGAGGGAUGACUUCCCGGAUCAACUUCCAACUGUUCCUUUAUCAUUUCUGUGGUCAGUCUACUGUACCAAAUGCACUGAACUACAGGGCAGGGAAUUGCACAAUCCCAUACUUCUCUUGCGUAUCUACAUCGUAAAUUUUCAAAUAACCUUAGGUGCCAUUUGUUGUUCGGAAAGAAAAAUGGAAGUGCCAGAAUUAACUUUUGAGUUUGGCUUCAAGCAAGCUGAACUAGUGCUGCUACUGAUACAUGUUAGUUGUAGAAAGAGUAUGUUAAUAACUUUGUUUUGUUUGAUGAGAAGACAUUUUGAAGUCUUUUCUUGGAAAAGUCAAGAUCCUCAGUUGUAACAACUUCAUUAAGUCCAAAACAAUUUAAGGUCGGUCAUAUGAAUCUUCACUGACCAUGUGAUUCCAUAAGCUCAUCUCAUGCCAAUAUUAUGCAAAUACAUAUUCAAUGUAUUAGAAGUUUUCUAUAUUUUCUAAAAUGCAUAAAUCUCUGAAAGGCUAAACCACUCUUAGAAAGCAUAGUUUCUCGUCAAAGUGCUAGCAUCCCUAAAAUUACUCUUAACGAAUAUGUAUUGCCUAUGUAAAUCUUUCUUCUAUUGUGCUAUAUCUUUUGCUUAGCUUACAUGGACCUCAGAUAUUCUAGGUCCUUCGAGACAAUUUUUUUCCAUGUGAUUUUAGGUCUAACUCGUUCUCUUUUAAUACCUUCACUUACCAUGGUUUCACAACUUGUAUUUGGAGGUCAAUGCAGGACAUGCCAAAUCAUAUCAACCGACAUUCUUUCAUUGUAUCCUCGAUGUGUGCUACUUGAACCUUCUUGCGAAUGUGAUCAGUUUUAGUCCUGCCUAAUUUUGUAUGACCACACAUCUAUCUUAGCAUCGGCAUAUAUCCAAAAUUCAUCUUGUGGAUGUGUUAAACUUUAGUGGUCCAACAUUCAGUCACACAGCAUUUGCUGGUCUAAUAACUGUUCUAUAGAACUUACAUUUUCACUUUAAUAAACAUCCUUCUAUCACUUAACACCACCCUUGCAACACUUCUAUAUUUUUAACUAUCCGAUUUUGAUUCUAUGUGCAACAUCCUCAUUUAUCAUUUCAUUCUCCUGGAACAACAAGCCUAAAUAUCAAUUGUUUGCAUUUAGGUACUGCAAUCCCAUGUAGUUUCACCUCAAUUCACUCUUCUUAUGGUGACUAAACUUGCAGGCAACUGAUCUUCAGUUAUAAACUUGGAAUUAUUUAGAGCUUACUCUGUUUUCAUCAUGCUUUUAUUUUAGGGACUUCGGGUUGGUCUAAACUUGGCUCUUGCUAUUGCUUUACACAACAUACCAGAGGUAUACUUUCUUACAAAUUUACCAGUUUAUUUCCUGAUUUCUGUAUGUUUCUUGAGUGCAAGGAUACACUAAUGGACUCCUUAUUACAGCUGUAAUAUAAGAUAUCUUAUCCUAUCACAAUGUGUCUGUGUAUGUACUUGAUUGCUGUAGUAUUCUUGGUUUCAUUCAUUUUUGGCUCUAUGAACAUGUUAUUUGAAUUUUCGCUGCUGAGCAGAUUGUUGAUCAUGUAUGUAAAUAAUAAAUCAAUGUGCUUAUCAGUUCAAUUAAGAGCUACGUGUGGCCUAUAUUUAAAGAUAAAGCCUGUACAUUGUUUGGGCACUUUUCAUUCUUUCAUACAUUUCCAUAUUAUACCAAAUCCCUAGCUGAGUUGGGUUGAGAUCGUUGAUUGAUUGACGAUGCCAAGGAAGGCAUCUACUGUAAAAACAGUGGAUAGUCUUGCCAAAACAGGUAAAUUAACAAUCAACAUGUUUAUUGGGAUCAAACUAAAAGGAACUAAGGGAUGUGUCUUUUUUGUUCCUUUUCCAUUUGGGGACCUGAUUUAUUUGGUUGCAGGGUGUUGCAGUUGCACUUCCAGUUUAUUUUGCAACACAGAGGUAAUGAUUCGUAGUAAACUAACUUAGUAUUAAUUAAGGAUAACAUCUUUUGCUUGUGCCAAUCUGGGUUUAUUUUAUUAGGUUAAUUUUCUAAUUAUUUAAUAGACUCGAUGCACGUAAACAUCUUAUCUUCAAUUUAGUCAGGUCAUAUGAAUGUAGUUUCUCGACAAAGUCAUGUUAUCUGUACAUCUUAUGCUUGAGGCCUUAAGGCUAUUUGAGUCAUAAAGACUACGCUAUUUAAAUUAUAAAAUGCAUCCAGCGAUUUAAAUCGCAAGACUUACAUGCACAUAACUGAAGUUGCUGGAAGCUUUGGAAUAUAAGAAAUUAAAACGCAGAUAGUAAGAAAGAUCAAUGAAAUCAAAUCCUUUUCCUUCUUCCCUCCAACAAAAGGUAACAACAAGGUGCUCUCAUCACUUUGUAGAAAUAAAAUUCUUUCUUCUGCCCAGAACAAUUUAUCAUGGCUCUGUCAAUGGCAUUGCAAGGAUAAAGUUCUAGUGCAACGACUAAAGAACACUUCAAUCAUAAUUAGUUUCACCAAAGCUCAUCUUGUUGUAUGCACUAUCCCCAUUUUUUUCUUAGAUAGUUGAGAUUUAUAUAGUGAGUCUAUAUGUGUCUCAGCAAAUGGCAGGCAUUCAAAUUGGCAACACUUUCUGGUCUCGCAGAGCCCCUGGGUGUAAUUAUUGUGGGUGAGUACCUGAUAUUCAUGCCUUUUUCUUUUAGAAGGAUAAGAAUUACCUGAUAUCCAUGUCUUUUAGUUCAAGUAGAACACAAAGUGUACAUGAAGCAGAGAAUAGGUUCAGAAUUCAUUUUUUAAUUUAAACAUGAUUUGAUUGCAGCAUAUCUAUUUCCAAGCAGCUUGAAUCCUGAAAUUCUGGAGGGCCUCCUGGGAGCAGGUUGAUAUGAUAUUUAUUUACUUCUAGUUUCUUGACUGAUGAGAAAGGAGAAACAUUUACUUUUGAAUUAUGCUAUCCUCUAAUGGAUCAUGUUGCUUUCAGUGGGAGGGGUGAUGGCAUUUUUAACCUUACAUGAGAUGCUUCCAUUGGCAUUCGACUAUGCCGGUCAGAAGCGAGCUGUCAAAGCUGUAUUCCUUGGAAUGGCUUUCAUGUCUGCGAGGUGAGAUAACUUCUGUAAACUUCAACGUCACUCCUGGUAGUUACCAAACACAGCUAACUAUUGUACUUCGACUUGAAAGGUCCCGAGCUUCAAUGAGUUAACACUACAUGCACUCAGCGGCAACUUGAUUUAUUUUUUUGUUUCCAUGCUUUUGAUCUAGUGGAACCUCCUUUGCUUGAUCCAAUUUUUUUAACAUUACUAUAUAAAAUGGAAGUAUAUUAACUUUUAGAUGCCUAAUGGUUGAAGUAAAAUAUAACAGAGGAUUCUGUUAUUCAGUUAAUGCUAGUACUUAAGGAACUCAGCAAUACCAGCAUACUUAGCUGAUUGUUCUUUCAUUUACCAAUAUAAAUAAUUACCAAGCAAUCUGCUAUAAUUACAUGCUGUAAAGGAUUCUUUCUUUCUAAAUUUGUUUGUCUUGGGCAUGGCACCUACCUCAUCAAAGCUGCUUGCUGAAUAUCGAUUUUGUUAUCUUCUUAUACUUUCUCGUUUCUUUUUCUUUUUUACUUUUGCUGUAGUUUUACCUUCUCUCCUAUUGCAGCCUAUAUUUCCUAGAGCGGAGCUUGCCAGCGGACAUGAGCUUGUAGUUCUCAGUCAUAUGGUGUUUCACUACUUGUACUGCUGAACUUCGAUGGAGUUUUUUCGUGGUGCUAAGCUUCAAAACUAAAAUUCGCAUUCUUACAAAAUCCAUGAGGCAUGGCAUUUGGUUUGGCAAGCUGAAUGAGAGUGAAGGUAUAACAGUUUCUGAGAUUGUUUUAUAGUAAAAUAGGAAAUGCACAGAGACUCAGCCAGUAUCUCAUAUAUGAACAAGAGAUACAUGGGCAAAACAUUGUGUGGAUUAAUUUACGAAUGGUCAUCCAACUUUCAAUUCGUUGUAACAAUGUCACAAAACUAACCUUUGUAAUGAAAUAAAUAAACUCAAAAAGUAUUAACUGAAUGCUGGAAAACGUAAAUUCAGUUUGGAAACACAACUAGUCUGCCAUUUUAGCAGCUAACUUUAACUAUACUCAUGUGGCAACAAAAACAGCAUACGCGGUGAAAUCCCACUAAGUGGAGUAUAGGGAGGUAGAAGGACUGUUUUCCAAAUAUCUCAGCUUUAAGCGAAGCAAAUCAAAGUAGUAAUGCAGGGAAAAAAACAGCAGUGAAAGAAAAACAUGACAACUAAUAUAAAAUCAGUGCAUAUAUAUAUAUAUAUAUAUAUAUAUAUAUAUAUAUAUAUAUAUAUAUAUAUAUAUAUAUAUAUAUAUAUAUAUAUAUAUAUAUAUAUAUAUAUAUAUAUAUAUAUAUAUAUAUAUAUAUAUAUAUAUAUAUAUAUAUAUAUAUAUAUAUAUAUAUAUAUAUAUAUAUAUAUAUAUAUAUUGAUUUACUAUCAGUUAAGUGAAAUUAGUUUGGGGGGUAUAUAGUGUAAUUAUUUAGUGGGAUAUCAAUAUAAAGAGAUAUAUAUUUAUAAUUAUUUUGCUUUUAUGAGAUAUUAGUUUAGUACCCCGUAACUAAACCAUUACUGCCUUACGUAAUUACACCCUAUAAUAAUUAAUAACUACACCCUAUAAUAAUGAGUUUUCCAAAUUUUUCUCUUGUAAAAAUGUCAUUCGGCUAAUGAUGUUAAGCAAAAUGUACCGUGACUUGGUAAAGUAAAAUGAAAUUGAAUUAGUUGAAAUAAAAACAUCACUAUAUAAAUUCUCUAUUAUUAUAAUUUAUUAUAUGCGAGAAGUCCGACAGUUAAAACACCAUAAUAACCCUACAAAGUGAAGUGAUCAUGAUGAUUAGGGGUGUUCACGGUUUGGAUAAAAACCGAUCCAAACCGAAAAACCAAACCAAAUCGAUAAAAUAAAACCGAUUUUAUUUGGGUUUGAUUUGGUUUGGUUUUAGAUUUUUGAAAACCGAUAGUAUUUGGUUUGAUUAUGGUUUUAUUUGAAAAAAAUCGAAGAAAUAACCGAACCGAAUCGAUGAAUUAUUUACAUAUAUUUUAUUAAUAUACAUACUUAAUAUAUUGUUUUUAUAAACAAUUUUAAAGAUCUUAUACAUAUUUUCAUUAAAAUUUCUUUAUAAUUUACUUAUUGUCCCAAGAUGAAACAUUUAUCUUAUUAAUUUCAUGUAUAUGAGUGUCUAUGACAAUUCUUUGUGGGACUGAAAAUGUUAUUUUCUCUUCCUUCUAGACCAAUAUAGUGAAUUUUAAAGCUUUAUUGAUAGUAAAUUUAGUGAUCGAAAGUUUAGUAAUUUAAGUCAUUCUAACUAUUUUUCGUUUUGAAUGGAUUGUUGUCACUUUUUUCACAUUUUAAAUGAAUUGUUUCUUUUAUUUUUGUGUAUGGUUAAUAACCAAAUAACCGAACCAAACCAAAUCGAAACCGAUAAUCACCAAACCGAUAAAUGUAUAUUAUAUUUGGUUUGGUUUGGUUUUGAUAAUUUUAAAACCGAUUAAGUUGGUUUGGUUUUGGUUUUGACCAAUAACCGAUCCAAACCAACCCAUGAACACCCCUAAUGAUGAUACCUUUAACCUAAUAUUACUUAAUACAUUUUUGUACGGUGAUGUAAAUUUAUAUUCUAACAAAAAAGAAGUUUUAAUUAGGAAAAAAGACAAUGUAGCACUUUUCUGCCAUUAAAAAUUAACGGCAUAUUUAAUGUUAAUAUAGUUAAUUGUAAAUAAAUCUUUUAUUUACUACUCCCUCCAUUCCAUAUUAAGUUAAUUUUUGAGGUGUUUCACACCCUUUAAGAAAAGUAGAUUAAGACAUAAAUUGAACCUAGUUUUUAAUUUUUACCCUUAUUAAUUAUUGUCAAAUUUAUGAUUAAAAUAACUAAAUAUUAAUUAAUCACUAAUUCCCAUACUAACUAAUGAAGGGUAAAAUUGAAAGAACACUCUAAAAGUAGUCUUGAAAAAUGAACAAUUAAGUUAAUUUGAAAAAUGAAAAAUACCUCAAAAAUUAACUUAAUAUGGAAUGGAGGGAGUAGUAGUUUACAACGCAAGUCUUUUCAUCACUUAUUUUGAUAGUUAUUUUUUUAGUAGUUACUCAUUUAACUUCCAUCGAUAUAGUCUUUUGACAUUUUUUGCACAAAUUUAAAUCACUUCUUUAUUUACUGAUUAAAUUGAAUUUCUUCUUAAUUCCCUUUUAAAAAAAAUAUCACGGGUUGGUGUAGUUGCUCUUCAAGCAUGCGUUGCUGGUGAGGAAUGAUUCUUCUGCCUUUUGUUUUCAUAUCAUAUAUUUGAGUCUUCUUUUAAUUUUUCAUUUUGAAUUAUGUAUUAUCAAUAAUUUGAUAAUCUAGAAAUUAAGUAAGCUAAUAUGAUGAUUGAUGGUAUUAAAAAAAGGAAAAAAUAUUCAAAUAUACAUCUUAUUCUACCAUAAUCUCCAAAAUUCCCUACCAUUUAAAUUUUUUUCAAAAAUCCCCUCUCGGAUACAUCACUUCUCUCUCGCUGAUACAUCAUUAUCCCUCCCCUCUCGGAUACCUUCCUCUCCUAUGUAUCUGGAUCCUAUCUCCUCUAGUACAUUCCUCCCCUCUCAGAUAUAUCCCUCCCCUCUAGUCAGAUAUAUCUAAUACAUUCCUCCCAUCUUUGAUACAUCCCUUACCUAUGUAUCCGGAUGUCCAGUGAUGUAUCCGGAAAUCCAGUGGUGUAUCCGCAAUUUAUAAAUUUUAAGGAUUUUUGUAAUUUGAAAAAUAGUAGAGAAAUAAUGUAAUUAACUAUUAACAUUAUGAGAUUUAUGUAAAAGAUUGAAUAGGUUUAAAAGAAACUAGUUUCAACUAUUCGGCUUAAUGAAUCAGGUUCCUUAAGGAUAGCUAAACCAGUAAAAUAAAGAACACACAAUUUGCUGUGGGAAACCUCUUUACUAGUGAAAAACGUAACAUGAUGUACAAAACUUUCACUAACUUCAACAAGCGGUUUCAGAUUUUACAACUUUAUAAUUUAAAAGACUAAUUAUAGUACCUUGCUAGGCAAAUAACUCUAACUAUUCCAACAACUCAUCAAGAGGAUACACUCUCUUUUUGUUACCAACGUCACAACUUUUACAAUAGAAGAAAUUAUUACAGCUAUAUAAUAAUCCUCUUACAAACUUGAUGACAAUAAUCCUAAACACUAGUUCUAGGUUGUUGCAAGCCUUCUCAUAUACUCUCCCUCCCACUCAAGUAUACUCAAACAAGUGCUAAAAAGAAAUUAAAGUUCAAGUAAGUGAUGAUCAGUGUGUGUAUAGGAUGUAUUAGUCUGUAAGUUUGAGUUCCAAAGGGCCUAGCUAGCAAAUGUCUUUAUUAGCCAAUUGCUUUGGGACUUGAUAUAAGCUCCUGUCCAAUUGGACAUGUCACACAGCAGGUACACUGACUUGGUGUGACUCUACAUGCCCGUUUAUUCGUGCUUGUAAGUUGUAUCCUUGGGACGAUUGUUGCAUAGAUACAAAGAUUGUCACUAAAUAAUGUGUUAGGAAAAACAUGAAUAAAUGAUUACUCCCUCCGUUCAUUUUUAUUUAUUCAGUUUGAACUUUGCACGUUUUUUUAAGAAUUAAUAGUUAUGUCACGAUUCAAAUUUUUUUAUUAGGUUGUGAGAACACCCACUAUCCUUACAGACGAAUCUCAUUUCUUUAUUAACUGUUUAAUAAUAUAAAUAAUGUGCAACUAAUAUAAAAUAACCACUUACUUUUAUAACUAAAUAAAUUGCGUAAAAAUAAAAGUGCGGAAAUAAAGAAUUUAAAUUCAAAACAACCCCAAUACCCGGUGACACCAGUACAAGAGUUUAGGAAUACAAAGCAAGUCAAAAAGGAUCAAAAUAAUAGUCUAGAAGAAAAUAACUAAAAAUAUAUAAGGUCUCAAAUAUCCAGUGCUAUCGAAGAGAAAAUAGCCCACUCUAGACUCAAAUAGCAAAAUCUCAAAAAUAUAUAGCAACUCAAGUACCACUUGUAUACGUAUCUGGUUCAGUUCAUGCACACAAAAAAGUACAACAAGUAUAGAGUUAGUAUGUAAAACAAGUGUACUCAACAAGUUUUGAUUGCAGAUCCUUUCUAAAAGUGAUAACACAAUAUAUAUAUUCUAAGAAUUUUUUUCCCACUAGUAUAAUUAUGUUACAACAUAAAUCACCACAACAUAACAAAUAAAACAGGUGGAUUUCCAAAAUCAGUUACACCACAUAUAAUAUCACAAUUUUUCUAAGAUGAAUCAAAUCAAUAACACAAUCAUAUCAAUACUUGAACACAACUCAAUAUGAAAUGUAAUAACGAAGAAAUAAAAUGGAAUGCACCGGCCAACAGUUUGUACACACCCGCUUUCUAUGUCGGAUAGUCAAGAUCAAUGGGGGACUAUGAGGUCCAUAUACUCGUCGGAAUUAUUUUUUAAUGGCUUUACAUGAUGUCACUUUUCGAAACUAUUUCUCAUCGAUAUUAAUAUGAAUUUCACAAAUAACAUAAUGAAAAAUUUCAAUCAAUCAUUAUUAUGCAAUAAUAAGAGUGGUAUGAAUAUGCAUGAACAAUAUAUAACAUGAAUUCGUCAUUCAACCCUACAAUAAAAAAUCAUCUAGUCACAAGUUGAAGAAAUCCACAAGUUUCAACAAUUGAAUCAUAUCGCAUGUCAUGAGAUACUAUCAAUUGAUAAUAAUUUCAUUUUAUAUUAUUCAUAGCAUGGUAUUGGUAUCUCGAUCCAUAAUGCUCGUUAUUGUAUUUAUACAAGAGCCUCUUAUUAUCCAUUACCCUUAAAUUCAUUUAAUACACAAAACUAACACCUCAAGGAAUUAAGAAAUUUCUAUUUGCCUCAACUGAAGGUCAAACGUAAAAUUACGAACUUGCCCUUUCGUAAUGCUUUCAAACGUCAAAAUUUGUUAAAUAUAGAAUUUUCAUUAAGAAUACGAAUCUAAUGAUACUCAUAUUUCUAUUAACAAUUAAAUCAAAAAAUUAACCCAAACCUCUACAGUUGAAUUUGAAAAUUUUCUUCAGAUUACAUUUACCUAUAAUGAAAUGAACUUAUAUGUCAAAUUUCAGCUAAAACAAAUUGUUAAUUACUCGACCCUCAAAAUCAUAAAUUCUUACUCUAAAAAUCUUAUUCUUGUUUCCGAAUAAUUCUUUCAUAUUUCUACCAAAAACUUUAACUUAUUAUCACGCAAUAAUCUCAAAGAAAAUUUUAGAAUAAUUACUUUGAUGUUUUGAGUUGAAAAUUUCCUAUUUUUCUCUUUUUUUUCCCUCUAUUUUUCUCCCCUUCUUCUCCUUUCUCCUAAAUUUGUUUUCUUUCUUUUUGUUGCGUCUCUAUUUUUGCGCCUUUGAGGUUUAUUGUUGCUUAUGUAAUCAAACUUUAAUCUUUUCAUUUGUUGAAAAACCCUUAAUUCUUCUUCUUUUUUGUUUUGUUUAAGGAUACAAUGAUCCCUCAUAAAUAUAUGAUUUAUUAAAUUCUCUAUCACUUAAAAUUAUAUUCGUUCUCAAACAUGUUCAAAUUUUUUUUUGAAGCGUUGAAAUACGAACAAUAACUAUGUACUCUCAAAAUGAACUAUCUUCUCUGAAACUCGUUUGAUCACUUUGAAAAUCAUGUUAUCCAUUUAUGUAAGUCAUAAAUCACUUAUAAAAGCAAUAUGAAGGAAUAAAAAAAAAGAAUGUAAAAUUCAUAAAAUGACUAAAAGGAUCGUUACAUCAUCAAUCCUAAAAUACAGAUUCGUCUUUGAACAAAAAGAAAAGUACCUGAAAUGCCGAACGAUAUCAGUUUUGCAGGUUAUAUUCAACCUCUCAAGUGUAUUCCUCUGUCGGACGAUAACUCUAGUGUACCUUCACAAAUGUUAUGUCCUUGAAUCUCCGUUUUCUAACUUGCCAGAAUAACUAUAGGCUUCUCCUCAAAUGUUAGAUUUGGAUCUAACUGUACCGAAUUCCAUUGAAUCACAUAAGAACCAUCACAGUGAUAUUUCUUCAACAAUGAAACAUGAAAUAUCUGUUAAGUCUAGUGGCACAACCAGCUCAUAUUUCCACAAAUUCGUACCCCAAGGCCUGACAUCAUAGGCUUGAACCAACCCGUCAAAGAACAACAUACAUGCAUUAAAUAAGACCAUCUGAAUAUUGAAAUGGUAAUAUGCAAACUCCGCUGAUAAAAAGAAUUGAUCUCAGUGACAACCAAAAUCAAUCAUAUAUGCCAUAACAUAUUCUCAAACACUUUAACCAUUCACUUGAACUUACCAUCUAUAUCAUGUGGAUGAAAAGUUGUGCUAAAUUUUAUUCAAGUACCCAACUCAAUCUAUAUUGACUUUCAGAAAUUGAACAUGAACUUAGUAUCUUGAUUCAAAAUUAUAGAAAUGGGCACAUCAUGCAAUCGUACUAUAUAUCUCAAGAAUAUAAAUCCUAAUCAACUUCUCCGCAUUGUAUGAAGUCUGAACCAACACAAAAUGAGUUGAUUUGAUCAAUUAAUUCACGGUGAUCCAAAUAAUAUCAAAUUUCCUCAAAAUCUGUGAAAUCCUACUAUGAAAUUCUUAACAAUCUUCUUCCACUUUCACUCAGGUACCCACAUCAUAUGAGUUAUACCGCAUGAUCUUUGGUGUCCGUAAUUUACCUACUGAAAAUUCAAACAUCAAAGGCAUACUCUAUGAUGUCUAUCUUCAUUCGAUACCACUAGUAAUGUUGAUUCAGAUCAUGAUACAUUUUCGUUGCUCCAGAUCCAUAAAUGCCUCCUUAGUUUCACCUUUUAACAUUAUCACAACCCGAGACUGUUAUGAAUAUAUUAUAUAUAUAUAUAUGCGGAAUUUAUGCUGUAUGAAGCACACAUUUUUUUAAUAUUCUUUUAGCAUCUUUGUAUGCAAAAUACUCAUAUAUUCUAAGCAUUCUCAUUUCAUGUAUUGCUACUAUCAGCUUUGUAGAUCUUAAGCUUGUACUUAAAUAUGCUUUUUCCAUUUCAGGAAUUGCUUUAUCAAUAUGAUGCAAUGCUAUGUGGUGUUUCCACGCUCUUUUCCUUACAUUAUGUACGUGGUAUUGAAUGUGUUUCAACAUAUUUAUAUUUUUAUGCUACAACAAGCAUGACAUUAGUUGAGUAAAUAUUGAUUGUAUACAUACAUGUUAUAUGCUUGAUUAUUAAAACACUAUGUACGUGGUAUUGAAUAUUUUCCAACAUAUUUAUAUUUUUAUGCUACAACAAGCAUGACAUUAGUUGAGUAAAUAUUGAUAAGCAUAUUAUGGUGUAAAAUGGUUCAAUACAUUACUUAACAAAGUUUUUGUAUACAACAAUUGUAUUAUGAAAAGAAAUUGAUACUAACCAUAUUGAAUACAUCAACUCUAACUAAAUGUCUAUGAAUCUUCUACUAAUAAUGAGUAUAUGUGGUUAGACAUGAUCCCCCUUCUUCCCUUAAUCAAUAUAUAUGAAGAUAAAUAAGACACUGAAACCAUGGAUUGACUUGAGCCCUCGAAAUAAGAGAACUCGUUACUUGCUGACCGGAAGCUAUUAUCUAGUUGACUAGGAUCCUGAUAGUAAAAAUCUAAAUGUACAUCACAUGAAAAAUGUAGGUAAAAUAGGUAUGCAAUCAAUACUUUGAAUGUGAUGAGUAUGUUAGAUACAAAUGAUAAUCUGUAAUGCUGGACAUGAUGAAUUUGAGAAGCUAAACUGAAUAUUGAAUUGACAUACAUAAACUGAUGCAAUGACCAUGUAGUAAAACAUGCAACUGAAAUAAAAACAACUGAACAUAAGGUCAUGCAACAUUUGAGACUGAAUUGUGGGAGGUACUAAUAAUCGACAUAUAAUCAUGUGAGCUAAACAUGGAGUUUGAUAUAUAUUCCCCAUAAAAAAGGGUCCAAUAUACCCUGUCAGGGUAUAAAGGUUGAUCUAAUUUAAUGUUAUGCCACUAAACUAAUGUCCAUAAAGAACUAAGGAGUUAGUCCUGGUUUGACGAGUGACUCUUAAAUAUCUUCAAUAACACGUAGUUUUGGGACUUAGAGAUUCUACUAAAUAUCUGAGUCCUAACUGACAUAUAAGCCUCAUCCCUAGGUCUGCUCGGUGCUAAGUAAAACUCUCAACGAAAACAUGCUGAUAAGCUAAAAACAGUAAUAAACUGGAUUAUACUAAAUGAUGUUGAUGUACUGAUAAAUCUGAGUAGCUCAUGAAUACUAAUAGAUACUUUACCUGAAAGCAUAUUUAAUCAUAAAAAUUGGUAGUCUGAGGCAGGCAUAUGAAAUUAUAUAGUUUUGAGACAUGAAAUAUCUAUGUUCUAAGGGUUCAUAAAAAUACUAUUUAUAAAUACUGAAUUAUAGUUUGUAAACACAUAAUUAAACUAUUCAUGAAGAGGAAUGAAAAGUAUCGUAGGAAUCAUGUUUUUCAUAACACCCUAAUUGUCGUAGAAAUCAUGAACAGGAAAAUAGGCUUACAUUGGGACUCAAUGGGUGAAAGGAUACCCAUUGAUAAAAUCCCACAUACCUGGAAUGAAAAACCUUGAUAGAAUCGCUGAACUUAAAGUUUGAAGGUGAAAAUCAUAGCUUUAAUCUUACUAACUAAAACGGUUGAUGUAGGGGGUGAGGAAGAACUAAGUUCCUCGCUAUGAUGACCUUAUAUACCUUAAACUCUCCAUAAAUCUUGAAAAAUAACCUUAAUUUGACGAAGAUUGAUCAAGAGACCCUUUACUGAAAUUCUUGGAUUCGUUUUUGAAAAUCAUAUGUUUUGAUGAUUAAGGGUAGGCAUGGUAUGGUAUGAUAUGAUAUUUGAAAGUUUUGAUACCGUAAUUUUGGUAUUCGGAUUUUAAAACAUUAUACCAUUACCAUACCAAUUUAAUUCGGUAUAUCGAAGUUUAGUUUCGUUAUUUUACAGUAUGAUAAAUCGGUAACCAUAAUUUGUUCAACUUUAACUAAUAUAUACUCGUAUAAUAGAGUAUUAUGACUUUGUCAAUUAAAAAAAGGUCUCAAUUGUAUCAUACUAACAUAUUACACAUGUAGAAAUAUAUAUGCAAAAUAUAGUACAAACAACUUCUUUUGUUAAUCAAUUACAAUUCAAAUACAUUUCAAUCAAAGUGGAGUAGUCAAAGUUUUAACUUCUGAACAUUUAGUUUAUACUAAUACUAGGUUGCAUAUUUGUUAGUAUUUUAAUAAUAUAUAUGUUAGUAUGUAACUAUAUACUUCGGUAUGGUAUUCAGUAUUUCGGUAUGUUAUAUCUAAAUACCAAAUACCGUAUCGAAUGCCAAAGAAAUUAAAAUGUAUACCAUAUACCACAUCAAAUACCAUAAUAUCAAAACCAUAGUAUUAAAAAUUUCGGCACGGUAUGAUAUUUCGGUAUAUACAUACCAUGCCCACCUCUAUUGAUGAUAUAUUCUAGCUUACGACACAUAAUCAUAUGUUAGAAACACUAGAGAAUGAUGAUAGUAUGCUUACCUUGAUUCGUAAAGAAGAAAUCUUGAUUAACUUGCUUCAAAAGCAAGUCUUGAACCCUAGAAUUGAGUUUUUUUAUUUUAGUAGAGACGAAAAGAGAAAUUGAUGUUAAAAUUUUGUAGAAAUUCUAGGAUAUACAUUGUAAAAUGUGAAAAUUUCUAAUAUGACAUAUAUUAUACUAAUAUUUUCGAGUUAUAGCAGUAGAUUUAGACUUUCAAGUUAUAACAUUAAAAAUUUCAGGUUGUAACAAAUUAUUAAAAAAAAAAGUUAUUUUUAAUAAUUAAAAACAUUUGAUUUGAAAAGAAUAAAAAGAUUAAAAAAAAAAACGUUUCUGAAGGAAAAAAUGAAAAAAACGGAAAUAGGGAUGGCAAUUAAAUUUGAAUUAAUUUAAGAUAAUUAUUAAUUAGCAUGAAUUAAGGAAUUUCAAACUAAUUAAGAAUAUUCAGUUUCCUUAAUUCACUCAAUUUGUUAAAAUUAAUUUAAAAAUCUGAUUUUAUCCAUUUUUCUUUCACGUUUCUCUCUCU
rnacentral:lncRNA from 1 species